GUCACUGCUUUGUCACGGAAAUAUUUUGUAUUAAUAAUAUUUGCUAAAAUAGGGAAUAAAAGGACGUUAAAAUGAAUUGUUGUGCAUCUAGGUGUCCUCGCACAACGCGGGGCAACCAGAAUAAAGGGAAAAACAUACAAUUUUACAGCAUUCCAGUCGGAAGCACUUUCGUACCUUGAACUCGUAAAAAGCCAUUUAUUUAUGGAUAAAUGCAAUAAAGAAACAUAUUAGAAAUCCAGAUGGGUCAUCAAAAAUCGGAAAAUCUUUUACACCCGCCCGGAACAUUUAUGUUUUUUUGGUUUUGUGUGCCCUAAUUAGUAGUGAUGCACGGAUUGUGUUCUCACAGAUACGAAAGGAGUGCUAUCAAACAAGAGUUCCAAAGGAGAUGUGUGGCUACCUCAAAGCCUGAUUGAGACGAACAUUUGUAUUUCAACAGAAAAGAAUACCAUUCUUUGAACCUACAAAUGGUGACUCGGGGUACCCCUUGAGACCCUGGCUAUACACAAAACGCCCGUAACUGCAUAGAGCGUUGCUUUGGACUCCUGAAGUCGAGAUGGAGGUGUCUUAACAAGAAACAAACUCUUAACUACGAACCGCAUGUGGCGAGCCAAAUAAGUAUUGCGUGCUGUGUCCUGCACAACAUUGCUCUUAGUGCUAAGUUUGUGAUGUUAUGGUGAAAUAUUGUUUCACUCGGUGCCAAAAUAUGUUAAACCUUCGUGCUUUGUAAUUCUCACAACGCUAAGAUUUCACUUUCGAAAUACUCGCUCGUGUCUUUCACUUACUCGGAUAUGAAGAGCACAGCACAAGCGGUUAAACAAUUUUUUGCUCCUUUUGAAAACAAAUAAAGUAUUAUAUUUAACUACUUCAUGUCUUAUAACGAAACAAAAGGGUUGAACAGUAAAGACAAUUUUGUAUAGCAAAAUAGUUUUAUUUAUUAUUAUCGUCUUUUAACACACUAGCGUUUUCGACUUAUUUGUAAUAGCGGCAUCACAUGACAUGGUAAAGAAACAAUUAUCAGAUCAGUACCACCCGAGUAUAGCCAAAGAGGAUAGAGUAUUAUAGAGCGUUACUGUCAAAGCAAAAUGUGUAAUCACAGUGCACAGACUGCCAUCUCUCCACACAGGCUUAAAACUUUUGAACCUCAGUUUUGACAAUUUGGCCCAUAUUCUGAGCUUGAUAUGUUUUAAAAUGUCAAAUUUUAAUAUUAGCGCCAUCUAGCCGAGCAUACCUCGAAGGUGUAACGCCAUCUAGGUCACGGUACCUUUAUCUAUAUGGUACUGAGAUACGUUUUUUUCUUAGACUUUAUCCGUCUAGAUGGAGUUAUAUAGGUCUUUGGUAUAGCCUAGAUUCCAGGAUAUGGUAGUAAUUUAAUACUAAAAUAUUUAAGACAACAAUUGUAAAAUAUAAACAUGAGUACAUAAAUACUAACACCCUUAUUCAUAAACAUUCAGUAAAGUUAUCAAGCCGAUAAAGUUCGUUUGUCCCUUUCCGACGUAUAGGUGUGAUAAAAGCGAUCCUGUCAACCCCUGUUCCCUAAACUUAAUAUACUUCCACUGCCUUCCCUUUACAUUUAUGAGGCCUCGAUAUUUGUAAAACUAAAUCCUGAACUCUUUCCUUCACAGGGGAAUCUUUCCAAUAGGCCCUUAAGACAAUAUCAAAUGCCAAUACCGCCACAUAGCUUAGUAGUCAGGAAAAAGAGUGCAUACAUUAUGUGCAUUAGAAUAUUUAACAAAAUUCCUGUAGCUCUAAUGUUAAUUAUAAGAUGUAAUGUUUUGAAAAGAAGUUGCCCGCCGAGUUUUUUGCCGGUCCCAUAGUGGAUACCCCCCUCCCAACUGAGGGGGGA
rnacentral:lncRNA from 1 species